rnacentral:rRNA from 1 species
CAGUAGCCGCGGGAAUACGUAGGGUGCAAGCGUUAAUCGGAAUUACUGGGCGUAAAGCGUGCGCAGGCGGUUUUGUAAGACAGAGGUGAAAUCCCCGGGCUCAACCUGGGAACUGCCUUUGUGACUGCAAGGCUAGAGUACGGCAGAGGGGGAUGGAAUUCCGCGUGUAGCAGUGAAAUGCGUAGAUAUGCGGAGGAACACCGAUGGCGAAGGCAAUCCCCUGGGCCUGUACUGACGCUUAUGCACGAAAGCGUGGGGAGCAAACAGGAUUAGAUACCCCAGUAGUCCCUGUCUCUUAUAA